UACGUAGGGGGCAAGCGUUGUCCGGAUUUACUGGGCGUAAAGAGCGUGUAGGCGGCCAAGCAGGUCCGUUGUGAAAACUGGAGGCUUAACCUCCAGACGUCGACGGAAACCGCGUGGCUAGAGUCCGGAAGAGGAGAGUGGAAUUCCUGGUGUAGCGGUGAAAUGCGCAGAUAUCAGGAAGAACACCAAUGGCGAAGGCAGCUCUCUGGGACGGUACUGGCGCUGAGACGCGAAAGCGUGGGGAGCGAACAGG
rnacentral:rRNA from 1 species